rnacentral:rRNA from 1 species
GUUGUUGAGUUUGAACGACCUCUCUCGGUCAAUUCUUAGUUCCGGAGAGGUUUAGGUUUGUUGUACUGCAGUUUCGGCUUUCGGUACCUAUGAUUGCCACGCGGACCUAACUUUUUAAGACUCCGAUCCUGCUUUCCCUUUGUACGCGUACACGUCGUUCUGCGUAGAAGAUGACGUGGAUUUCGAUUUCGCGGUUCAUGAUGGGUUGACGGCUGCAAACGUGGUUUGUCGUUUGUACUUUUCGGUCGGUUGGGUCCGCCGUUCCGAGGUUUCGCCACUUAAGGCCUAAGUAUAUAUGAGGGAGACAUUUGAUUAUAUUCUCACAAAUCUAUUGAUUUUAUCAUUAGGUUUGCGAGAAUAUAAUCAAAUGCCUCCCUCAUGUAAAAUUUGGAGAACACACCUAACUACUUCUUCUUAUUACUGUACAUGUAGUAAACCGCACGAAACAGAUGAUUUAUUAUGUAUAUGGCUUCUGAGAUUAUCAUAGAUUCUUCAAUUCUCCACCUUUUCUUUAUACCUAGCUAGAUAACGUACAAUUAUCAAACAUGCAGGAGCCACCUAAAGCGGUGACAGGAUUCAAGUACAUGACC